rnacentral:lncRNA from 1 species
CUCCCAACUUUUUUAACCAUGGUUCGUGGCUACAAAGUACGCCCGUUUUCGUACCUUGCAGCAUUUGGCUACAUAAAAAAGCGGCACGGUGCAGUUUCAUGGGCGGUACCCGACAAGUGUUUUUGAAAGACAAAAUUCCUCCUGGUAGCUGUAUGGAAUAUAGGAACAUAAUAAAAAUCGAGUAUACCAUUUUAUUAGCGUGGCAGUAAAGUAUACCGGUCAAAUUUACAUGUAAUAAAUCCAUUAUUCUUGUUUAAAUAUUUCAGCUAAAAACUCGUCAACACAAAAAAUCCUAUUUUCUCAAAUUCUACUGCAAUCAGAUAAAUUAGUUUCUCUGCCAUUUAAUUAGUUUAAUUAGUUACUAAUUACUAAUUAGUGGCUAAUUAUUAUAUUAUCAUUAAUUAUUUAUUAUUUGAACUUUUCACUGUAUUUCCAUGCAACAACAAUGUGCGAUAAACUUUAAAACUUUUCUAAACUUGCGUCGCCGUGAACUCAUCAGUGAACUCUAUAAAUCUGGAGCGAGAAAUUCAGUCACUCGACCCAUGAGAAAAUCGAAGACAAAAUGGCGGACAUUAACGUUCAAAAUCUAUGAAGGUCGUACAGAGUUUUCGUAUUAUUUCUCCCAGCUAAUUCCAGUUUUUUCUAAAGGAGCGUUCGUAUAUCAGAGUAUAAAUCGAUGCCAAAAUACGAAAUUUUGGCACACUUCUUGAAGCUUCGUGUUAACCGCGCGGAAAACAAUACAAAGGGACUGGAACUGAAGUCCGAUCUUGGCUUCACUUCAAUCUCGUUCCCCGAGCCUGCGAUCCUCGGGAAGGAACGCGAGGCUCUGGGAUAAUCCGUUUCAGGGAGGAAUCUGAUUGGCCGUUGAUAUGGAAUGCGCAGUUCAAUCUUAGCCAGGAUUCCUGGCUUCCGCCAACGGAUUAUCCCAGAGCCUCGCGUUCCUUCCCGAGGAUCGCAGGCUCGGGGACGAGAUUGGGCUUCACUUUGGACUCGAGUUCUCACUCCAGAUAUAUAUAUAUAUAUAUAUAUACCUGUAUAUAUAUGGAGCUCAGAAAUCUUCCUAUACAUGGCUGUGUUUUAAUUAUUGUUCUGGAUAGUGCUUAAAGCCUGGUCCACACUGGCAAUAGACAAUUUCCAUCAUAGACUAAUUUUAAAACUAGGCAAGACAUUUUUUAAAACUAGGCAUUUUUUACUAAAAUUAGUAAAAUUACAAAGUUUGGUUGCGAAAUGUUGUAAAAUGUGGAAAAUAUAGCCUUGCAAAGUUUGCAAAUUUUGUAUACUUUUGUAUUGCGUGCGGAAAUUCCUACCACAUUCCUACCACAUUUGGGCUGAAACUGGUAGCAAUUUCCGCACGCAAUACAAAAGUCUACAAAAUUUGCAAACUUUGCAAGGCUGUAUUUUUCGCAUUUUACAACAUUUCGCAACCAAACUUUGCAGUUUGCAAAUGUACUCAUUUUAGUAUGCUCUUUCUAGCUGUGGUGAUUUAUUUGCAUCUCCUUGCCUAGUUUUAAAAUUAGUCUAUAAUGGGAAUCGUCUAUUCUGUGGGUGAUUUUUCUCCUCCUGGUAAAUGUGAUCGAAUGAAUGACAUGCAAAAGACUUAGAAUUGUUUACUUCUGAAAAGCGACUCUACACUUUUAUGUGCGAGUUCACUCAUUUACAUCCGUCAGAAACACAAAUCGCCGACAAAAUUGCUAAUGUGAACCAGGCUUAAAGCCCGUUCUCCACUAGGCGAAUUUAUUCGCGCGAACAGAUAAAAAGUAGGAAGCGAUCCUACUUUUUCGCCGCGAAUUUUUUCGCCGACCAAUCACGUUGCCGGAUUUCGGUUUUCGCUUCGCGUCGCGCGAACAAAUUCGCGUAGUGGAGAACGGGCUUAAGGUUACAGGACACCCUUUUUGGCGUUUUGCGGAAAAUCGCUACUGCGCGCUCAAUAUCAGUCCGAUUUUCAUCAAAUUUUCACCAAAUGUUCUCCAGUGCAUGCAAAAUAUGGUAAA